rnacentral:rRNA from 1 species
UACGGAGGAUCCAAGCGUUAUCCGGAUUUAUUGGGUUUAAAGGGUGCGUAGGUGGUUUCUUAAGUCAGAGGUGAAAGGCUACGGCUCAACCGUAGUAAGCCUUUGAAACUGGGGAACUUGAGUGCAGGAGAGGAGAGUGGAAUUCCUAGUGUAGCGGUGAAAUGCGUAGAUAUUAGGAGGAACACCAGUUGCGAAGGCGGCUCUCUGGACUGUAACUGACACUGAGGCACGAAAGCGUGGGGAGCAAACAGGAUUAGAUACCCCCGUAGUCCCUGAGCGGG